rnacentral:piRNA from 1 species
AGUGAAUGAGGGAACGGAACUGA